UUUAAUGGGAAUGAUGAAGAAGA
rnacentral:piRNA from 1 species